UUGAUCCUGGCUCAGGAUGAACGCUAGCGGCAGGCUUACACAUGCAAGUCGAGGGGUACAGGUUCCUUCGGGAAUGCUGACGACCGGCGCACGGGUGAGUAACGCGUAUGCAACCUUCCUGUAUCUGGAGGAUAGGCCUUGGAAACGAGGAUUAAUACUGCGUAACAUUAUAUUAUCGCAUGGUAAAAUAAUCAAAUCUACGGAGGAUACAGAUGGGCAUGCGUGCCAUUAGCUAGAUGGUAAGGUAAGGGCUUACCAUGGCGACGAUGGCUAGGGGUUCUGCAAGGAAGAUCCCCCACACUGGUACUGAGACACGGACCAGACUCCUACGGGAGGCAGCAGUGAGGAAUAUUGGUCAAUGGAGGCAACUCUGAACCAGCCAAGCCGCGUGAAGGAAGACUGUUCUAUGAAUUGUAAACUUCUUUUGUGACAGAGUAAAGAUAGCUACGCGUAGUUAUUUGCAAGUAUGUCAUGAAUAAGCAUCGGCUAACUCCGUGCCAGCAGCCGCGGUAAUACGGAGGAUGCAGGCGUUAUCCGGAUUUAUUAGGUUUAAAGGGUGUUCAGGCUGUCUGGUAAGUCAGAGGUGAAAGUCGGUUGCUUAACGAUCGAAUUGCCUUUGAAACUGUCAGACUUGAGUAUGGAUGCGGUAGGCGGAAUGUGUAGUGUAGCGGUGAAAUGCAUAGAUAUUACACAGAACACCGAUUGCGAAAGCAGCUUACCAAACCAGCACUGACGCUGAAGCACGAAAGCGUGGGUAGCGAACAGGAUUAGAUACCCUGGUAGUCCACGCAGUAAACGAUGCUCACUCGCUGUUGGCAAUAGAUCGUCCAGCGGCUAAGGGAAACCGAUAAGUGAGCCACCUGGGGAGUACGAUCGCAAGAUUGAAACUCAAAGGAAUUGACGGGGGCCCGCACAAGCGGUGGAACAUGUGGUUUAAUUCGAUGAUACGCGAGGAAC
rnacentral:rRNA from 1 species